AAGUCGUAACAAGGUUUCCGUAGGUGAACCUGCGGAAGGAUCAUUAACGAGUUAGGGUCUUCUUGGCCCGACCUCCCAACCCUUUGUUUACUGAACCUCUUGUUGCUUCGGCGGGCCCGUCUUACUUUAGACCGCCGGGGGACCGCCCAGAGGCGUCCUCUAGCUCGUGUCCGCCGAUGGCCAACUAAAAUUCUGAGAUAAAUCAUGAUCUUUAUGUCUAAGUCAAUUGAUUAAAUUAAGCAAAACUUUCAACAACGGAUCUCUUGGUUCUG
rnacentral:misc_RNA from 1 species